UACGGGGGGGGGCAAGCGUUGUUCGGAAUUACUGGGCGUAAAGGGCUCGUAGGCGGCCAACUAAGUCAUACGUGAAAUCCCUCGGCUUAACCGGGGAACUGCGUCUGAUACUGGAUGGCUUGAGUUCGGGAGAGGGAUGCGGAAUUCCAGGUGUAGCGGUGAAAUGCGUAGAUAUGCGGAGGAACACCGAUGGCGAAAGGGCAAUCCCCCUGGGCCUGCACUGACGCUCAUGCACGAAAGCGUGGGGAGCAAACAGG
rnacentral:rRNA from 1 species